UAAUAAUAAUUGCAUGCAAUAAAAAUAUGCUAGUACUAUUGUACUACUACUACGUACAAAUACAUGAUAUAAAAAAUGAAACUUAAGACGAAAUCAAUAUUACGUGUAUUAAAAGUGCAAAGACUACUAAGGCUGGAAAGUAUGCAGUAAAGGAAUGUAUGCACAUGCAUCAGAUGGAUCACGAUUAAGAGGAAAGAGGAAAAGAGAUCGAGAAGGCACGGGAACCUUAACUAAUUUGCAUUUGACUAAUCUAAUAGUACUUCUGCUCUAACUGAAAGAGCGCUGUCUACCUUAAACAUUCCUAAACCGGCGGAUGACAUUUCAAGAAUCCCGAUAUCAUCCACCAUUUCAAUGUUAAAUAAUUCUUUCAUACUAAAAUAUUACAUUCCAACCAAAAUAAUCGAAUAUACUUCAUUUUUAUAUGCAGACUAAAAAAUUACAAUCGCGUAUUUGUCGAAAACCAUUGAUCUUUAACAUUCGGUGAAAGAAGAAAACUAUCCGUUCUACCAGCCGCCUGCUCCAAACAUUUAGUUCCCGAUUUAAUACCCAGAUAACCACACUACGACCACAAAGUCUGAUAUGGGUCGCAGAAUUUUUAUUUGCUCUACAGUACGACUUUGUGGUCUUAAUAGAGGAUUGGUUCGAAAUCACGCUAUUUUAUACCAAAGUGUUGUGGGUGGUCUUGGGGGAAGGGCAGGAAGAGGAGCAUAAAAUUUGGAAUGUUUCAGGAAACUUUCAUGAUCGAUUGAAACUUUCAACAUUCGUUCAUCUGUCAAUGCAAUACAUCGAAGGCGUCUUCUUUGCUUCGCUUUAAUGUACUCCAUUCUUAUUCAUCUGCUUGAUGCGGUGCGCUACAGUGUGUUUUAUUUUGGAUUUUGUGUAAUGUUUAAGGGUAGUUUUUGUACUUUAAAUGUAAAUUUUACAAAGAAAAGUACUCAUAGUGCAUGAAAAAAGUGAAGUACUGUAAAACAACACUACCAGGCGAUGGAUUUUUCAUUCAGAAAAUGCAGCGUCCUUUGACAGCGCCGUCAUCGUUUGGCGCAGUAGUGAUGAAUCAACCCAUUUUGUGCAGAUAUGAGGAUCAAUGUUCCCGAUAGUGAACAGUGUCAAGCCAAGUCGGCGUCGUGUUCAAAGCAGUUAUGUGUGUAUUUACCCGUGUGUGUGCGUUUACUUCUAAGUGACAUUAUUUUUGUAAACAUUGAACGACGGAAAUAAAGAAAUGAAAAUGAAUUUCAAAAGCUUUAGUUCCGAAAUAUUUCAUGAAAAAUUUCAAAAUGACGAAAGAAAAGCUUUCCUACCACAAACGAAAAAUUUCAUUAUUAUGGUGCAUUUGAUAUAAUUAUGGCCCGUUUUAUGUCAUCCACGAAGUCUUAAUAUUACUGCUGUAAGUGAUGCUUUAAGACCGAUAUCAGACCGUCUUAUAUAGGUCUUCGAACGGUCGGAUAUCGGUUUUUGGCUAUCUGGGAUACACUU